rnacentral:rRNA from 1 species
CCUACGGGGAGCAGCAGUGGGGGAUAUUGCACAAUGGGGGAAACCCUGAUGCAGCGACGCCGCGUGGGCGAAGAAGUAUUUCGGUAUGUAAAGCCCUAUCAGCAGGGAAGAAGAAAUUACGGUACCUGAGUAAGAAGCACCGGCUAAAUACGUGCCAGCAGCCGCGGUAAUACGUAUGGUGCAAGCGUUAUCCGGAUUUACUUGGUGUAAAGGGAGCGCAGGCGGGACGGCAAGCCUGAUGUGAAAGCCCGCGGCCGAACCGCGGGACUGCAUGGGGAACUGCCUGGCUGGAGUGCCGGAGAGGUAGGCGGAAUUCCUAGUGGAGCGGUGAAAUGCGUAGAUAUUAGGAGGAAAACCAGUGGCGAAGGCGGCCUCCUGGACGGUGACUGACGCUGAGGCUCGAAAGCGUGGGUAGCAAACAGGAUUAGAUACCCUAGUAGUC